rnacentral:lncRNA from 1 species
AAAAUUUUAAUCUAAAUGCAUACAUCUUUGAUUCAAUAUCAGGUAACUGUAAACCUCCAUUACACUUUUGAUCAAUGAUGGUGUUAUAUUUUACUAAGUGUGCACCAUUAUUCCACACAAAACUAACACAUGCAGUUUUAAUAUCUCGUAAAACAUGAUCUGGCAUCGAUGUUACAAACAAAGAAUACCAUAAUCUUGACAUAAAUAAUGAGGAAAUAACAUUCACUCUACCCUGUAUUGUCAAUUGCCUCUGCAUCCACAUAUUUAAUAAGGACUUAAUUUUACUAACUUUGCCACUCCAAUUUAAAUGAUCACAAACAGUUUUGUCUUUGCCAACAUACACUCCUAACAAUAAAAUAUAGUUUUCGCAAACUUGCAAAUUAUAUUUGUUUUUUCCAUUAUCAGUUAUUCUACCUUUUGCCUAUUUAUUUUGGCGCCUGAACUGGCUUCAUACAUUUCAAAAACUUUAAAAAUUUC